AUACGUAGGUGGCAAGCGUUGUCCGGAUUUACUGGGCGUAAAGGGCGUGCAGGCGGUUCGUUAAGUUCGAGGUGAAAGCUCCCGGCUCAACUGGGAGAGGUCCCCGGAUACUGGCGGACUUGAGGGAGGCAGAGGAAAGUGGAAUUCCCGGUGUAGUGGUGAUAUGCGUAGAUAUCGGGAGGAACACCAGUGGCGAAGGCGGCUUUCUGGGCCUUACCUGACGCUGAGACGCGAAAGCGUGGGGAGCGAACCGGAUUAGAAACCCCAGUAGUCC
rnacentral:rRNA from 1 species